GCCUUAGUCAUAUUAUAGCUGCAGCUUCCUUAGCUCAUAACAUCUGAAUGAAGAAGAGGAUCAAAGAGACAUUAGGACAUUAGCAGAAAAUGCACCCACCACUUCAAGAUAGUAUGUGGCAUUGAACAGUACGUGUAUCUGCUUUUCUGUUGGGAUUUAAGGUCCCUCUUCAACAUCGUCUGGACUUUCAUUUAAAUAAUCUACUUGUCCCUACAGCUCUGACACUUAGAAAUCACCUCCAGAGAAGGAUUUAAAAUUAGUCACAAUAGUCUUGCCAAUUGGUCGACACAUCUCUUUUUUUUUCUACUGUCCCUCGGGAAACAGAGCUCCCCUCUGUCAAGUCAUUACUAAGGAGAUUCCAGGACCUAGGCACUCAGCUCCCAAAUACCUUUUCUCUGCUUUUGCUUUCCCAUCUUUUCCUGGAGGCAAUGGAUGCCAUAUGGUGGAGCUGCUGAAAAGGUCCAGCCCACAGUUCAUGGGAAAGGAUGACAUGAGUGUGCCCGUGCCUGGAGGUGGAGGUCACGGAGGGUCGUCUUAGAAGGCAGCCUACUGCAUUCCACGGGACAGCAGGAACAAGGCGUUUCUAGAUCUCAGGGUUCAGGGCUGUGUCUUGAAUUUAGUGGGCCUUUAGUCAAUGUUUGUUGAAAGAACUCAUUUCUGUAAGACUUACUCUAACCAGCUGCUUUGUAUCAUCAACUUUAACAAUUAGACAUUCAGUUCUAUGUGUAGUUAAGCAAAUACAAACGUAGCCCUUGU
ensembl:lncRNA